GUGCUCUCUUUGACAGCACACAUACUAAAAUUGGAACGAUACAGAGAAGAUUAGGAUGGUCCCUGCACAAGGAUGACACGCAAGUUCGUGAAGCAUUCCAUAUUUUU
rnacentral:snRNA from 1 species